rnacentral:rRNA from 1 species
UACGUAGGGGGCAAGCGUUGUCCGGAUUUACUGGGCGUAAAGAGCGCGUAGGCGGAAGCUUAAGUGUGGCCUGAAAGCCCCCGGCUCAACCGGGGAGGGUGGCUGCAAACUGGGUUUCUUGAGGGCGAUAGAGGAGAGCGGAAUUCCUGGUGUAGCGGUGAAAUGCGUAGAUAUCAGGAGGAACACCCGUGGCGAAGGCGGCUCUCUGGGUCGGCCCUGACGCUGAGACACGAAAGCGUGGGGAGCAAACAGG